AGUCGGGCGACGCUGGGGAAGUUGCUGGACCCGACAGUGCGCGGCCGGGGCGGGCGUCCGAGCGGCCGCUGAAAGAGGAAGGGCGGGGCUGACGCCGGCUGGCAGAGACUAGAGCUGAGUGCUCCAGGCUGAGAAACGCUAGAGGGUGCGUCUUGACAGCUGGCGGAGUAGCACAGGUCAAGGGGAUCCAAGCGCGGGCCAGUGCCUUGCGUUCCCGCUCUGAGCCCCCUCAAUACCCCGCCUUGGCCAGCGGCCUCGGAGGUCCCGCGGCCCUCUCUCCGUCUCUCCCUUAUUUCAGCUCUAACGCGAACCUACGCUGUCCAAGCCUGACUCCGUCGGCCGUGAGAAACGGGCCGGGACGGGUGGAAGCACACGCCCACCUGGGCGCCACUCCCAGUUGCUGCCCGAGGCCGACCCAGCACAGCCCGAGGGUGACCCAGCACAGCCCGAGGGUCGGGCGCCCGACCACGGUGUCGGGUUCCCGGAGCACAGACAUGUUUUUGUGGGAGCCAUCGUGUUUUCUUCACUUGCAAAGCCAUGACAUCAUUGGAAGGCCUGUUAACUUAUUUUUACUUGGCAAAUUUUCUCCCUUGGGCAGGAAGACUCCAGUCAGAUAUAGGAAAUUAAAUUUGUAUGUGAUUUUCUAUAAGGUCUCGAUGUCAUGUAGGGCAUAUAUAAAUUAUUAGAUCAUGCAUGUAGAUUGUGAAGUGAUCUCGAAUAACAAUUAUAUAUAAUUUAUAUGUAAAGGGGCUUCCCUGCUGGCUGAGAGGUUAAAGCGUCUGCCUGGAAUGCGGGAGACGAGGGUUUGAUCCCUGGGUCAGGAAGAUGCUCCUGGAGAAGGAAAUGGCAACCCACUCCAGUACUCUUGCCUGGAGAAUCCCAUGGAGCGAGGAGCCUGGUAGGCUACAGUCCAUGGGCUCGCAAAGAGUCAGACACGAUUGAGCGACUUCACUUUCACUGAUCAACCAUCUACUUUUUUAUUUAAAAAUCUCAUUUGAAACAGAAAAUUAUCUUCAGGUUUACUAUAUUCAUGGCUAGCGGGUAAAGAACCUGCCUGCAAUGCAGGAGACACAGGAGAUGCAGUUUUGAUCCUUGGGUCAGGAAAAUCCCCUAGAGGAGGAAAGGGCAACUCACUCCAGUAUUCUUGCCUGGGAAAUUCCAUAAACAGAGGAGCCUGGUGGGCUAUACAGUUCAUGGGAUUGCAAAGAGUCGGACACAACUGAGCAUAAACAAGUAGACGGAUAUUCUGACCAGUCUAAAAAUAUUCUAGUAUCAAAAAUAAAAAUACUCCUGUAUCUUUAACAGUUACUGGUUUCCCUUUCCUUAACUUGAGAAAAUCAUUCUUCUAUGGUCUCUGUAGCAUCAGCAAAGAUGGUUCAAACAUCAUCAAAUGCUCACCCCAUUAUUUCAAUGCUAUUUAUAUCACAUUGGUUUAAGGGUGCAAGUCCCCCUAGAAAAAGGCAUAUCUCAGUCACAUCAUGGGGAAUAUGAAUUUUGGGUAAGGAAGAAGACAAAAUGUCAACUAGAGCAAGCUAACUCUGGAGGACUCCCUGCAAAAGGAAUAAUGGCCAAAAAAGAUGACCCAGAAUGACCUGCUCCUCUAGUCUGUGUCAGGACCAAUUGGAUUAAAAUCACUGCCUAUUUUGGGAAACCCUUUCUGCUGUCAUUUGAGAUGUUCAGUGUCUAAGGGCAGUGGAAGGCUUUUGAAAAAGGAAAGGAAUAUAUACUUCUUUUGUGAUUAAUAUUCAUUGUAUUAUAGUUACAAAUGUUAAAGUCUAGUUUUUCUCAAGGUUUUAAAUUCAAUUAAAAAAUAUUGUUGUUUUUCUUAUAAAGCUAGAAAAUGUUGAAACAACUGGAACAAUCCCUUUCAUUGGUUCUUAUGUGAAUUAAAGCCACCGAAAGGCAUCAUUCUGAACAUCUAAGCCACUGAUGAUAUUCUCUAAAACAUUUUAAAUGAUAAUUACAGACUUUAUCUGAACCCUUAAUUCACGACGAGGUGAGGGAGGCGCUGGUGAGGUCACACAGCUAGGACCUAGAGCUGAUGUUUAUUGUUUAUUUGAAAAUUUCUGAAUGAACCUGUGUGUUCAUCUUAAAAACUCCGCACUGUUAAAAUUCCUACUGUGUUCAUUUGCUUGGGAGUCCUCAAACACAUAAAAUCCUGUGUCCUCCACUCAUUUUUCUACCCAUCUGCAAACAAAACCAGCAGAUGGUGUGGAUGCAGUCAUCAGAAUGCGGGGCCUUGAGGGUAUAGCUGUGGCUCCUUAACCUCCAAGGUUGGUUAAGGAGGUCUUGGUUUUUUCCCCCAUCCUUAAAUCCACCAAAUUUAUGCCUACUUCAGGGCCUUUGAACCUUCUGCCCCUUCUCCCAAAGUCCAUUUCUCCACGAUAUUUCUAAGGUGGCUCUUUCUUAUCUUUCUCAGCUCAUUGUCACCUCUUGUGAUGUAUCUUUCCUGGACUAUCUCUCUAAUACUGUCCUCUGCCUACCACUCUGUCAGAUAACCCUCACUAAUUUUCUCACAGUCUGUAUCACUCUCUAAGAUUCCUUUUCUAUCUGCUUAUUUGUUUGUUGUUUUAAUUGCCUGUUAGAAGGUAAACAUCAGGAGGUCAAGUCUUUUUCACUGGCCUGUCUUUUUCACUGCAGUGUAAAUGAAUGAAUGAAUGAAUGAAGUUUCCCUUUAAUGGUGGCACACCAUAGGUUUGUUGCAAGAGUGGAAAGAAUCAAUGUGUGCCCAGCAUCUAGAACAGUUUUUAGUCCAUGGUAAGGAUUCAAUUCACAAGGUUUGUAGCUAUUAAUAUUAUUUCCUAACACUGAAGUUUUAUACAGUAACAGAAUAACCAGAGGGAAAGGGAGAUGAUCAAUAGAGUGACUAUAGAAGGAUAUAUCAUGAGAUCUAUGAGGAAUAUAAAGAAAUGAGCCAGUGGGGUGGGAACUGGUGAAUGUAGAGAUAAAACAGAAAUGGUGAAAGAGAGAAAAGUGUUGAAGCUGAGUGAUGAGUACUUGGGACUUCUUAAUACCAUUCUGUCUACUUUAAAUUUCUUAAUAAAAGUUUAAAAAAUAAAAGCAAAAAGUAACACAAUUACUUUUGAGUGAGAGAUUUAGGUAAAUAAUUUUGUAGAGUAUUGAUGUUGAGUAUAUUUGAUUGAGGUUUAUUUGGGGGAAAAAAAAAAAGGUAAAGAUCCAGCAAAGCUACAAUUAAAUAGAGCUCUUAGUGUAUGUUUACAUCCUUUAAAGGAUUUCCCUAGGGAACCUCAGAAGUGGGGGAGCCAACCUUUGGUCCCAUGCAUUGUGUCCUGGUACCCAUAUUUGACUCUUUUAUUUUUACUAAAAAAAAAAAACCUUUCUGAACUUGAUUCUUUCAAGAAUUCUUCCAAGUGAGGUCCAAAAUUAUUCUUUAUCUAGGAAAAAUUAAAGAUAGGCCUGAAGUGUGAGUUUCUACCAGGAAACAGUGUGCUUUCAAAUUGUCAGGGCAGUGCUGAAAGGAUAAAGGGGCCAAUUUUAAAGGGGCUUCCACUGACAAGCAGCAACAAUUUAAGCAUCAAAAAGAGGAUAACUUUAGCAUUAAUUGAAACAAGAUGAAACUAAUAAAGCUCUCAAGCCAUAUUGACAAGUUAGCAUUAAAUGUAACCCAAAAGAAAUAUGACCCACAUGAGACAACUUCCUGUGGAGCUUAUUGCCCAGCCCAGCUGCCUCUUUGGUGUUAACUGUGUUGCAGUGGAUUUGUUUACUGUCUCCCCAAGGAAGUCAGAGGAGACUCUAAGGUUAGCUGAGGCAGGGACCAAAAUCCACCUGGUGAAGAGUGACAGGACUGAGUGAUGAUCCUGGCCUCCCGGAGUCUUGGGUGGGCUUGGAGGGGAUACAGCAAAAGACACUCUGACAGUCCAGAGCCUGGGAUGCAGGGACUGUUCUGAUUUAUCUCAAAUCAGUCAGUAAAAUAUGAGGGGGGGGAAAAAAAGAAAUUGAGUGAGCAGGGGAAACUCUGGGAAAAUUCUUCCAAGUGGGGUCCAAAAUUCUUCACUCUUCUAGGGCUCUAAGUUGUACAGCUGGGCCCUAGCCGUUUUGGUCGGGUUUACAUCUGUAAACCAAGCUAACGCAUAUGAGUGAGUAUUUUUUAAAAAGCACUGAUAAAGAUAUGGGCAUGAUAUUGAUUUUGUGUCUGUGAAAGUUAUGUGAAUGCAGGUAACCUAACAAGCUUUGCCAUCACGUAGCUAGUUUUGAUUAUGCAUUAUCUGCAUUUAAGAUGUGAAAGUGCUUUCACUGCCAGGGCCUGGGAUUUGAUUCCUGGCCUGGCAACUAAAAUCUCUCAAGCUGCCCAGCACGGCAUCCCAACCUUCCACCCCGCCCCCACCUCCGCACAACCAACACCCCCGGCCCCAGCCCCGCCCCAAUGCAAAAAACAAAAACAAAAACACCCUGUGAAACUUUAUUUAAAAAGAAUUUGAUUUACCACUUAGAUAUUUUAUCUAUUUGACUUUCAAGCUUGACAGAAGUCCUAGGGAAAGAAGUAGUUGCUUUUCGCUCGUGUAAAUUGUUGUACAGUCAGGUGUAUGAAAGUGUAAACCCCAUUUUCCAUGCAUAGAAGCAGGCUAUACUUCUUCAGAAGUCCACACCGUGUGCCUGUCUGCAGACAUCUUUCAGGCCGGGAACUCUGGCCUGGGGACUCCAAGUACCGCUGGUCUGCUUCUCUGAAGCCUUCGCUGACGUUUUGCCCUUGACCUCUGGAGCCCGUUUCCUAAACCACCCUUCGAGUCGCAUAGGCACGCAGCAGAUACGCAGCAAGUGAGGACGGAUGAAGAAGGCGGCUGACCGAGACACCUGUGGAGAGGCUGAUGUUCUUUUACUGUUCUAUUCUGCCGCUGAAGACGGAUGCGUAGGUGCAGGCCGGGAGUGAAACCAGUCAGGAUAGAAGAACUCAGACUCGCUCACGGUGGUGUCCUGUAAGGUGAAGGUUGUCGCGCUAAUAUUCGUCAGCGCUAAGCGGGAACGAGUCACCAGCACAUCUCUGGCAGAACCAGGUACUUUCCCGGCUAUGCUAACUUGAAUUUCUCUCGGUGCCGUUUCAUUCCGCAUUCUCCGUCCUUUAGCUCCGUCUGCUACUUCCUCUACCCCACAUUUAGUCACCUCGUGUGACGUGUCUGUGGCUCAGUGGCCUCACCUGCAGGAGAGGGAGACACCGACAACAGGACCAGUUAACGUGAUUGUGAUAGAUGGUGAGGUUAUUACUGCUCUUUCCUGUGAACUCUCUUUCCCAGUCUGACUUCCACUAUAUGAUUCCAACGCACUUUUUGUACUUUCUACUAUUUCAUUUGUCUUUGAGUGGCAUUCCUGCCUUCUGAUCUUCUAGGAUUUUAAGUUCUGUGAAGGAUGGCUCUAAUGACAGACCACCUUCUCUUGCGCUACAGACCUAGAGAUCCGUAAUAUACUCGCUUGAAGUGAACUGGUAAUAGAUUGGAAAAGAGAGCGAU
ensembl:lncRNA